GCCGAAGUGGCGGAAUUGGCAGACGCGCUAGAUUCAGGGUCUAGUCGUGGCAACACGGUAGGGGUUCGACUCCCCUCUUCGGCA
rnacentral:tRNA from 3 species